GGUGCAUGGGGUCUCCUCAUGAGACCAUUCUGGGCAGGCUCGCUGCAGCUGGGUAGUGGCUGACGUGAUCUUUCCACAGGGGUGCAUGGAGAAGGCUCAGGCGUGGCUACAGGAGAACUUCGGCAUCCUUCUGGGCGUGUGUGCUGGUGUUGCUGUCAUUGAGCUGCUGGGGUUGUUCCUGUCCAUAUGUUUGUGCCGGUACAUUCAUUCUGAAGAUUACAGCAAGGUCCCCAAGUACUGAGGCUGCUGAUGUCCCCACUGUCCUGUGUUUCUCCACCCUCAGUCUCCCACAGGGCCUCUAGAGCUUUCCCACAUGAGCCGUGCUCCAUCUACUACUGAGGCCUCUGGCCCACCCUGGGAAGGUUGUAGGAACUUUCUGGGCCUGGGCCCUUCUCCCUGCCUUUCUGCCACCAAUAUGGGGCCCUUACUGUCCUGUAGCUCUUCCUCCUACUGCCUGGAAUAUUUUUAACAGCUUGAAAUGGCUCCCAGUAUUACUGUACACAGGAUAGCUGGGUCCCCACCCUGAAGUCAUA
rnacentral:lncRNA from 1 species